UCCCUGGUGGUCCAGUGGUUAGGACUCUGUGCUUCUGAUGCAGCGGGACCGGGUUCAAUCCCUGGUCAGGGAC